rnacentral:rRNA from 1 species
CAGCCGCCGCGGGAAAACGUAGGGUGCAAGCGUUAAUCGGAAUUACUGGGCGUAAAGCGUGCGCAGGCGGUUAUAUAAGACAGAUGUGAAAUCCCCGGGCUCAACCUGGGAACUGCAUUUGUGACUGUAUAGCUAGAGUACGGCAGAGGGGGAUGGAAUUCCGCGUGUAGCAGUGAAAUGCGUAGAUAUGCGGAGGAACACCGAUGGCGAAGGCAAUCCCCUGGGCCUGUACUGACGCUCAUGCACGAAAGCGUGGGGAGCAAACAGGAUUAGAUACCCUGUAGUCCCUGUCUCUUAUACA